rnacentral:rRNA from 1 species
GAUGAACGCUAGCUACAGGCUUAACACAUGCAAGUCGAGGGGCAGCAUAUUUAUAGCAAUAUAAAUGAUGGCGACCGGCGCACGGGUGAGUAACACGUAUCCAACCUGCCGUUUACUAGGGGAUAGCCUUUCGACAGAAAGAUUAAUACCUGAUGGUAUAUAUUGAUUUCAUGGUCUUUAUAUUAAAGAAUUUCGGUACACGAUGGGGAUGCGUUCCAUUAGGCAGUUGGCGGGGUAACGGCCCACCAAAACUACGAUGGAUAGAGGUUCUGAGGGAAAUGGCCCCCACAGUGGAUCUGAGACACAGUCCAAACUCCUACGGGAUGCAGCAGUGAGGAGUAUUGGGCAAUGGGCGUAGGCCUGAACCAGCCAAGUAUCGUGAGGGAUGACUGCCGUAUGGGUUGUAAACUUCUUUUAUAAGGGAAUAAAGUGGAGUAUGUAUACUCUUUUGUAUGUACCUUAUGAAUAAGGAUCGGCUAACUCCGUGCCAGCCGCCGCGGUAA